rnacentral:rRNA from 1 species
UACAGAGGUCUCAAGCGUUGUUCGGAUUCAUUGGGCGUAAGGGGCGCGUAGGCGGCGGGGUAAGUCGGGUGUGAAAUCUCAGAGCUCAACUCUGAAACUGCACUCGAUACUGCUCUGCUUGAGGACUGGAGAGGAGACUGGAAUUCACGGUGUAGCAGUGAAAUGCGUAGAUAUCGUGAGGAAGACCAGUGGCGAAGGCGGGUCUCUGGACAGUUCCUGACGCUGAGGCGCGAAGGCCAGGGGAGCAAACGGG